rnacentral:rRNA from 2 species
AAGCCUCAGUACGGCGAGUGAGCGGCAAAAGCUCACUUUGGAAUCGCUCCGGCGAGUUGUAGUCUGGAGGUUCUCAUUCCGCAAAGAAAAGUGGUGCCAAGUCCUUUGGAACAAGGCGCCUGAGAGGGUGACAGCCCCGUGGACACCAUGCUUUCUUUGCCCUUGAGGUACCGACGAGUCGAGUUGUUUGGGAAUGCAGCUCUAAGUGGGUGGUAAAUUCCAUCUAAAGCUAAAUAUUGGCGAGAGACCGAUAGCGAACAAGUACAGUGAUGGAAAGAUGAAAAGCACUUUGAAAAGAGAGUGAAACAGUACGUGAAAUUGUUGAAAGGGAAGGGCUUGCACCCAGACACGGUUUUACCGGGCCAGCAUCUGGUGGGAGGAGGUGACAAAGGGGAGCUGAUGUGGCAACGUCUUCGGGCGUUGUGUUAUACAACUCCCUCCCAACCUCUCCCCCGCCAGAGGACCGCAUUCUAAGGAUGCUGGCGCAAUGG